AAUGAACGCUGGCGGCAGGCCUAACACAUGCAAGUCGCACGAGUGGCGGACGGGUGAGUAAGGUCUGGGAAACUGCCUGAUGGAGGGGGCUAACUACUGGAAACGGUAGAUAAUACCGCAUACCAUCAGAUGUGCCCAGAUGGGAUUAGCUAGUUGGUGGGGUAACGGCUCACCAAGGCGACGCUCCCUAGCUGGGCUGAGAGGAUGACCAGCCACACUGGAACGGAGACACGGUCCAGACUCCUACGGGAGGCAGCAGUGGGGAAUAUUGCGCAAUUGGCGCAAGCCUGAUGCAGCCAUGCCGCGUGGUUGAAGAAGGCUUUCGGGUUGUAAAGUACUGUCAGCGGGGAGGCGUUACCCGCAGAAGAAGCACCGGCUAACUCCGUGCCAGCAGCCGCGGUAAUUC
rnacentral:rRNA from 1 species